rnacentral:rRNA from 1 species
UCGGGAAUUUUGGGCAAUGGGCGAAAGCCUGACCCAGCAACGCCGCGUGAAGGAUGAAGUAUUUCGGUAUGUAAACUUCGAAAGAAUGGGAAGAAUAAAUGACGGUACCAUUUAUAAGCUCCGGCUAACUACGUGCCAGCAGCCGCGGUAAUACGUAGGGAGCAAGCGUUGUUCGGAUUUACUGGGCGUAAAGGGCGCGUAGGCGGCGUGUUAAGUCAGCUGUGAAAUCUCUGAGCUCAACUCAGAACGGCCAGCUGAUACUGAUGUGCUAGAGUGCAGAAGGGGCAACCGGAAUUCUUGGUGUAGCGGUGAAAUGCGUAGAUAUCAAGAGGAACACCUGAGGCGAAGGCGGGUUGCUGGGCUGACACUGACGCUGAGGCGCGAAAGCCAGGGGAGCAAACGGG